CAAAAUUUCAUAAAAAUCCCCAAAAUAUCACAAAAAUACAUAAAAAUUCACCAAAAUUCUCAAAAAUUCCCAAAAAUUCCUGAAAAUUCCCAAAAAUCCCCCAAAUCCCCCAAAAUCCCCCAAAAUCCCCCAAAAUUCCCACUCACCUUUACAGUAGGUGCUGAUGCUGGCCUCGAGGGGCGUGGCCAGGUGGACCUCGGGUUCCUCCAGGUGGGAUUGGUUGGGGUCGCUCAGGAGGGAGAUGGAGAAAUUUGGGCCUCGGCCGCGCUCAAGGUGACGCGGGAGCUCUCGGCGUAGGCUCCGCCCCCCGUCCUCACUUCCGGAAAGCUUCGCUCCGCCCCCGAGGCCACGCCCA
rnacentral:lncRNA from 1 species